UGAAAAGAAAGUAGUAGGAACUCAAGGAGACUGCAGAGUCUCUGUGUCAUGUGAUGGGAAGAAGUAUGCUGGCUGCACUGUGCAGCUCAAUACAAGAACGGUACUCUGGUUCCAAGGCCAGUUACGUGCAGAAAACGUUAAGCCUGCAGGAAUAGUGCAUUUGAGUCCUGAAGAACAACAUCGACUCUAUCAGAGAUCUCCGUGGAGUGCCAUAUAAAGAUCUCAGACCAGUUCUGGAGAGAUGCAACACAGAGCAGCUGUCACAUUGAGCAGUUUAAUCAAGUAUGGUUACAAGAUGUCACACGGACACAAGACACUUUGACCAUGAAUCUCACACCAGUCGUUCAUUGUGUAUAUUGUUCAUCGGAAAGAAUCCACAGUAGACUUUCUGUCAGUUUGGACCAGAUGGGAUAACCUUAAUUGCCCUCACGCACAGAUGAGCUUUGGGCUCCCAACACCCUGUCGCCGGUUUGUGUUUUGUCCCUCCUUGGAUCACUAUCUGUAGGUACUCACCACUGCUGACUGGGAGCACCCUUGCCGUUUCAGAGAUGCUCUGACCCACUUGUCGGGCCAUAACAAUUUGGCCCUUAAGUUGUAAAAGUCACUCAGGUCUUUACUCUGCCUAUUUCUCCUGAAUUCAACACGUUGACUACAAGAACCGAUUGUUCGCUUAACAUCUACACAGAACUUGACAUGUGGCCUUGUUAGGAGAUGAUCAGUGUUAUUUGCUUCAUCUUUGAGUGGUCAUAAUGUUUUGGUUCAUCAGUGUAUUAUGCAAUGCAUAAGUAAACUAAAAUGUUUAAUUGUCCAAUUUGCCAUAGACAGAAGUUAAGUGUGUCCACCAGCACAGCUUCUCCCCCUGCUAAGUUAGUGAGGCUACAUUAACCACUUACAGUAAACUCUCAACUAACUACCCGCUGUUCUUUAGGAAGAUCAGUUAUUAAGAUUUAGAAAAGCUUAUAGAUUGAAUUAUUUCAUGGUGACGUCCACAGGAAACCCAGUGAUGUUGGUCAGUGUUUGUACAGAAGUCCCUCUGUGUCCACCAAUCUUCCCACUGCUCCCAGUGCUGGUGUUCAUCUGGCCACAAAUAAGCCAUGUGUCAAAAGUGAGUCCAAGAAGAAUAUUAUUGCACUUGUGUUGCUGUUAUACGUUUGGUUAGAGGUAAACCCUUAACAUAGGCUAUGAUAUCCAGAAUUUGCAUUUUUCCAUAUAGAAAUCUGAAUUGCUUGUUAUUGGUUGGAAAGAAACAUGCUCAUUGUGUUUUCAAACACUUUUAUGUUUUUUAGAAUUGGCCCCACUGAUGGCUAAAUCCAUCAGAUUAUAUGAAAGCUGAUAUGGCAGAUGG